rnacentral:rRNA from 1 species
AACGAACGCUGGCGGCAUGCCUAACACAUGCAAGUCGAACGAGACCUUCGGGUCUAGUGGCGCACGGGUGCGUAACGCGUGGGAAUCUGCCCUUGGGUUCGGAAUAACAGCGAGAAAUUGCUGCUAAUACCGGAUGAUGACGUAAGUCCAAAGAUUUAUCGCCCAAGGAUGAGCCCGCGUAGGAUUAGCUAGUUGGUGAGGUAAAGGCUCACCAAGGCGACGAUCCUUAGCUGGUCUGAGAGGAUGAUCAGCCACACUGGGACUGAGACACGGCCCAGACUCCUACGGGAGGCAGCAGUGGGGAAUAUUGGACAAUGGGCGAAAGCCUGAUCCAGCAAUGCCGCGUGAGUGAUGAAGGCCUUAGGGUUGUAAAGCUCUUUUACCCGGGAUGAUAACGACAGUACCGGGAGAAUAAGCUCCGGCUAACUCCGUGCCAGCAGCCGCGGUAAU